CGAGGUUGCAGACGAUGCGCACAUUUUCCGAACUUUUUUGAUUUUGUGAAAUUCAAUAUUUUUUGUCCUCAAAAACAACUUUUUUUGGGGUUGAAUUCGACUUUGAACGAUUUUUCCGUGAGUUCAUCCCCACUUGAACAGAUUGGCUGUUAUGAAAAUGCCUAAGUGAACAGGGUCCAUCCUGGAGUUGGCUCAUGUAGGAAUUGACAGCUGAAUAACCAUUGUGUGGUUUGAAGAUUGACUGGUCCUUGGAUGUCAAAGAGGCCUGGAAAAACCUUCUUGACAUAGAAGCUGGGUGGCGCUCGCAUCUGAAACGCCUGCUGUGAACGAGAGCUGGGGCCAAACCAUGCUAAAGCCUAAAGACAUCUGUAAUUCGCGCAUUGUUGCAAGCACCAUCAAUGGCAGGACUAAAGAUUGUCAGUGACAGCUAUUUGAGAAGAAGAAACAUCAACACGUGUAGAGGUGCUGCUGUAUCGGUGGCUCUAACUCUGGCUAGCAGUGAAGAGGUCCCUGGUUCAGACCCGAUAGUUGGCUUGAGACUUGAGAUCUGUCUCUCUGUCCGACUGUCUGUCUCACUCCACCAGGUACCAGUCAGAAAUGCUCAAAAUGUAGUGCUGAAUGAACAGCUCCUAGAUGACUCCCUACAUCAUAAACCUCUGAAAUCUUUAAUGUAGGUACUCCAACCUCUCACCCCCUUAAAAUAUAUGGCCUUUCAGUAUCGCUUGAUGUCAAUUAACCAAAGAUUUCUUAGGAAUAAUUGUCACUUGGGGCAAAUCAGCCUUGUGAUUUGUCUAAAGCAUUGAAAGAACCCAACAAAACAUAAUGCAUCUCCGUCCCCUUAGAAUUCGAUUUCCAAGCACCUCAGCAUCAAAUCAAGGAGAGUACUCCCCAAUAAAAUUCAGAAGGCCAUAGUUGUGAUGUAAAAGCAGUCGGCAUCAAAGAGCCCAGGUGCUGUGCUCCCCAAAGAAAGUUUUGAAAUUUUUGAAGGCGUCCUUCAAGCAGGCUGCCUCUGGCCUAUUGACAAGGUCCUUGUUGAUUUACCUUGCUAUGAUGAAAUAUCAAGAGACGGUCAACCAUAUGAUGAAUGCUUCAGGAUAUCAAAAUAUCAGAAUUCUGUGCGUGUCCGUGUUCUUUUUCAGUGUGGUUUGAAGAUUGACUGGUCCUUGGAUGUCAAAGAGGCCUGGAAAAACCUUCUUGACAUAGACGCUUGGUGGUGCACGCAUCUGAAACGCCUGCUGUGAACGAGAGCUGGGGUCAAACCAUGCUAAAGCCUAAAGACAUCUGUAAUUCGCGCAUUGUUGCCAGCACCAUCAAUGGCAGGACUAAAGAUUGUCAGUGACAGCUAUUUGAGAAGAAGAAACAUCAACACGUGUAGAGGUGCUGCUGUAUCGGUGGCUCUAACUCUGGCUAGCAGUGAAGAGGUCCCUGGUUCAGACCCGAUAGUUGGCUUGAGACUUGAGAUCUGUCUCUCUGUCCGACUGUCUGUCUCACUCCUCCAGGUACCAGUCAGAAAUGCUCAAAAUGUAGUGCUGAAUGAGCAGCUCCUAGAUGACUCCCUACAUCAUAAACCUCUGAAAUCUUUAUGUGUGGUUUGAAGAUUGACUGGUCCUUGAAUGUCAAAGAGGCCUGGAAAAACAUACAUUGACAUAGACGCUUGGUGGUGCACGCAUCUGAAACGCCUGCUGUGAACGAGAGCUGGGGUCAAACCAUGCUAAAGCCUAAAGACAUCUGUAAUUCGCGCAUUGUUGCCAGCACCAUCAAUGGCAGGACUAAAGAUUGUCAGUGACAGCUAUUUGAGAAGAAGAAACAUCAACACGUGUAGAGGUGCUGCUGUAUCGGUGGCUCUAACUCUGGCUAGCAGUGAAGAGGUCCCUGGUUCAGACCCGAUAGUUGGCUUGAGACUUGAGAUCUGUCUCUCUGUCCGACUGUCUGUCUCACUCCACCAGGUACCAGUCAGAAAUGCUCAAAAUGUAGUGCUGAAUGAGCAGCUCCUAGAUGACUCCCUACAUCAUAAACCUCUGAAAUCUUUAUGUGUGGUUUGAAGAUUGACUGGUCCUUGAAUGUCAAAGAGGCCUGGAAAAACAUACAUUGACAUAGACGCUUGGUGGUGCACGCAUCUGAAACGCCUGCUGUGAACGAGAGCUGGGGUCAAACCAUGCUAAAGCCUAAAGACAUCUGUAAUUCGCGCAUUGUUGCCAGCACCAUCAAUGGCAGGACUAAAGAUUGUCAGUGACAGCUAUUUGAGAAGAAGAAACAUCAACACGUGUAGAGGUGCUGCUGUAUCGGUGGCUCUAACUCUGGCUAGCAGUGAAGAGGUCCCUGGUUCAGACCCGAUAGUUGGCUUGAGACUUGAGAUCUGUCUCUCUGUCCGACUGUCUGUCUCACUCCACCAGGUACCAGUCAGAAAUGCUCAAAAUGUAGUGCUGAAUGAGCAGCUCCUAGAUGACUCCCUACAUCAUAAACCUCUGAAAUCUUUAUGUGUGGUUUGAAGAUUGACUGGUCCUUGAAUGUCAAAGAGGCCUGGAAAAACAUACAUUGACAUAGACGCUUGGUGGUGCACGCAUCUGAAACGCCUGCUGUGAACGAGAGCUGGGGUCAAACCAUGCUAAAGCCUAAAGACAUCUGUAAUUCGCGCAUUGUUGCCAGCACCAUCAAUGGCAGGACUAAAGAUUGUCAGUGACAGCUAUUUGAGAAGAAGAAACAUCAACACGUGUAGAGGUGCUGCUGAAUCGGUGGCUCUAACUCUGGCUAGCAGUGAAGAGGUCCCUGGUUCAGACCCGAUAGUUGGCUUGAGACUUGAGACCUGUCUCUCUGUCCGACUGUCUGUCUCACUCCUCCAGGUACCAGUCAGAAUUGCUCAAAAUGUGGUGCUGAAUGAGCAGCUCCUAUAUGACUCCCUACAUCAUAUAACCUCUGGAAUUUGUAUGCUUUGGUUUACCAGUCCUUGGAUGGUGAAGUGUGUGCAGGAUGUCAUGACAACCAGUCCUUGGAUGGUGAAGUGGGUGCAGGAUGUCAUGACAACCAGUCCUUGGAUGGUGAAGUGGGUGCAGGAUGUCAUGACAUGAGCAUGAAGAAUAUUGUGAAAGACCGCACCAAAAAUACCUGAACAUUAACCUUUUCUAAAGAGAAGAGACUUUUUAUGAAUUUAGGCCUAUAAAAGGUUAAGAAGUUGUGCAGGAAUAUGGUUUACUCCUCAAUGAGCUUGGAAACCCUCGUCCACCUGGAUGCAGCGGAAGAUAUGUGCAGAUUCAUUUCUUGCUUUGAAGCAAUAUUGUUGCUACACUCCUAAAGCGGUGGCAAUGUUCAGGUCUUUUCUGCCUCGCUGGCAAAUCUGCAUACCAGUAAUUAUGUGCAGACUUGGCUCUUCCUGAGAUUGUAGGACUGGGUCCAUUGAAUGUAACAAAAAUAAUCGAUGCCUAUUUACAAAUGAAAUGAAGAGUCUGCAUUUUGGUGCAACUCCAUAUAACUGUCGGGUGAUUUCGCUCUGAACUUGUGACACUCUGAUCGGUCUGAAAAAAUCAUUAUCCCGCCCCUCUGGGAAAAAUUUGCAGCCAGAUUGCACCAUUGCCUGUUACUGUCUGAGAGAUGGCAAUGUCGGGGGUUCAUGACGGUGGUUAAACCUAUUGCGAAUGGGCAGCACAAUUGGGUGUAGGAUACUCCGAAACCAUUGCACACUCCUGAAUCUGCGGUGGGUUGGUACCCCACGCUACGUAGGGAGUAGGUUUCUUGGUAAGACUUGGUCCACGUGAAUGGGUCGUGCCUUAAAAAUGAUGAGAAGUUGCGAAUUGACGCCCUGUGAAGUGUCCUUCGACCAACUAGUGCUAAUCCGGUCACUGUCUCCAGGUCACCAUGCCUCGGUCAAUGAGCGGGCGAAGCACCCAAUGGCUCCGUCAGGAGUACAUCGUCAACUUCAGCCCGUAGUCAAACCGGUACACGCACAAAUAUCUUAGUUGAGAGUGGGGGACAUCAGUAAAGUGCUUCUCAUCGGGGUAAUACAGUACCACUGUAUACAAUGACCCCAUUUUUUGUUGGAUUCAUUUCCACUGAGGAGUGGUCGAUAAUGAGAAUUUCAGGCCAGUCUGAUUAUCACCAGUACAGAGGGCAAUUAUCUAAUAGUUAUGUGGCUUUCCCUCAAACUGUAUACUCUUUCAUGUCAGUUGUAAGUUCGUGUUGCUUGGUAGUGUUCAGGGUCUUUUUGUCGAACAGGCACAUCUGCAUACCAGUAAUUAUGUGCAAACAUCAUUUUUGCUUUGAAGCAAUAUAGUUGCUACACUCCUAAAGCAGUGGCUGUCUUCAGGUCUUUUCUGUGUCGCGGGCAAAUCUGCAUACCAGUGAUUAUAUGUAUAAUUAAGUCUUGCUUUGAAGCAAUAUCAGUGCUACACUUGUGAAGCAGUGGCAGUGUUCAGGUCUUGUCUGCCUCGCUGACAUAUCUGCAUACCAGUAAUUAUGUGCAGACUUGGCUCUUUCUUUGGAGCAGUACAGUUGUAAGAAAAAAUCCUGUUUGUAAUUUUAUAAAUUAGUUGCUCAUUAAGGGCUUACGAAGGUUUUGAUGCCUUGCUGGCAUAUCUGCAUACCAGUAAAAUAUGUGCAGAUUCAUUUCUUGCUUUGAAGCAAUAUUGUUGCUACACUCCUAAAGCGGUGGCAAUGUUCAGGUCUUUUCUGCCUCGCUGGCAAAUCUGCAUACCAGUAAUCAUGUGCAGACUUGGCUCUUCCUGAGAUUGUAGGACUGGGUCCAUUGAAUGUAACAAAAAUAAUCGAUGCCUAUUUACAAAUGAAAUGAAGAGUCUGCAUUUUGGUGCAACUCCAUAUAACUGUCGGGUGAUUUCGCUCUGAACUUGUGACACUCUGAUCGGUCUGAAAAAAUCAUUAUCCCGCCCCUCUGGGAAAAAUUUGCAGCCAGAUUGCACCAUUGCCUGUUACUGUCUGAGAGAUGGCAAUGUCAGGGGUUCAUGACGGUGGUUAAACCUAUUGCGAAUGGGCAGCACAAUUGGGUGUAGGAUACUCCGAAACCAUUGCACACUCCUGAAUCUGCGGUGGGUUGGUACCCCACGCUACGUAGGGAGUAGGUUUCUUGGUAAGACUUGGUCCACGUGAAUGGGUUGUGCCUUAAAAAUGAUGAGAAGUUGCGAAUUGACGCCCUGUGAAGUGUCCUUCGACCAACUAGUGCUAAUCCGGUCACUGUCUCCAGGUCACCAUGCCUCGGUCAAUGAGCGGGCGAAGCACCCAAUGGCUCCGUCAGGAGUACAUCGUCAACUUCAGCCCGUAGUCAAACCGGUACACGCACAAAUAUCUUAGUUGAGAGUGGGGGACAUCAGUAAAGUGCUUCUCAUCGGGGUAAUACAGUACCACUGUAUACAAUGACCCCAUUUUUUGUUGGAUUCAUUUCCACUGAGGAGUGGUCGAUAAUGAGAAUUUCAGGCCAGUCUGAUUAUCACCAGUACAGAGGGCAAUUAUCUAAUAGUUAUGUGGCUUUCCCUCAAACUGUAUACUCUUUCAUGUCAGUUGUAAGUUCGUGUUGCUUGGUAGUGUUCAGGGUCUUUUUGUCGAACAGGCACAUCUGCAUACCAGUAAUUAUGUGCAAACAUCAUUUUUGCUUUGAAGCAAUAUCGUUGCUACACUCCUAAAGCAGUGGCUGUCUUCAGGUCUUUUCUGUGUCGCGGGCAAAUCUGCAUACCAGUGAUUAUAUGUAUAAUUAAGUCUUGCUUUGAAGCAAUAUCAGUGCUACACUUGUGAAGCAGUGGCAGUGUUCAGGUCUUGUCUGCCUCGCUGACAUAUCUGCAUACCAGUAAUUAUGUGCAGACUUGGCUCUUUCUUUGGAGCAGUACAGUUGUAAGAAAAAAUCCUGUUUGUAAUUUUAUAAAUUAGUUGCUCAUUAAGGGCUUACGAAGGUUUUGAUGCCUUGCUGGCAUAUCUGCAUACCAGUAAAAUAUGUGCAGAUUCAUUUCUUGCUUUGAAGCAAUAUUGUUGCUACACUCCUAAAGCGGUGGCAAUGUUCAGGUCUUUUCUGCCUCGCUGGCAAAUCUGCAUACCAGUAAUCAUGUGCAGACUUGGCUCUUCCUGAGAUUGUAGGACUGGGUCCAUUGAAUGUAACAAAAAUAAUCGAUGCCUAUUUACAAAUGAAAUGAAGAGUCUGCAUUUUGGUUCAACUCCAUAUAACUGUCGGGUGAUUUCGCUCUGAACUUGUGACACUCUGAUCGGUCUGAAAAAAAUCAUUAUCCCGCCCCUCUGGGAAAAAUUUGCAGCCAGAUUGCACCAUUGCCUGUUACUGUCUGAGAGAUGGCAAUGUCAGGGGUUCAUGACGGUGGUUAAACCUAUUGCGAAUGGGCAGCACAAUUGGGUGUAGGAUACUCCGAAACCAUUGCACACUCCUGAAUCUGCGGUGGGUUGGUACCCCACGCUACGUAGGGAGUAGGUUUCUUGGUAAGACUUGGUCCACGUGAAUGGGUCGUGCCUUAAAAAUGAUGAGAAGUUGCGAAUUGACGCCCUGUGAAGUGUCCUUCGACCAACUAGUGCUAAUCCGGUCACUGUCUCCAGGUCACCAUGCCUCGGUCAAUGAGCGGGCGAAGCACCCAAUGGCUCCGUCAGGAGUACAUCGUCAACUUCAGCCCGUAGUCAAACCGGUACACGCACAAAUAUCUUAGUUGAGAGUGGGGGACAUCAGUAAAGUGCUUCUCAUCGGGGUAAUACAGUACCACUGUAUACAAUGACCCCAUUUUUUGUUGGAUUCAUUUCCACUGAGGAGUGGUCGAUAAUGAGAAUUUCAGGCCAGUCUGAUUAUCACCAGUACAGAGGGCAAUUAUCUAAUAGUUAUGUGGCUUUCCCUCAAACUGUAUACUCUUUCAUGUCAGUUGUAAGUUCGUGUUGCUUGGUAGUGUUCAGGGUCUUUUUGUCGAACAGGCACAUCUGCAUACCAGUAAUUAUGUGCAAACAUCAUUUUUGCUUUGAAGCAAUAUAGUUGCUACACUCCUAAAGCAGUGGCUGUCUUCAGGUCUUUUCUGUGUCGCGGGCAAAUCUGCAUACCAGUGAUUAUAUGUAUAAUUAAGUCUUGCUUUGAAGCAAUAUCAGUGCUACACUUGUGAAGCAGUGGCAGUGUUCAGGUCUUGUCUGCCUCGCUGACAUAUCUGCAUACCAGUAAUUAUGUGCAGACUUGGCUCUUUCUUUGGAGCAGUACAGUUGUAAGAAAAAAUCCUGUUUGUAAUUUUAUAAAUUAGUUGCUCAUUAAGGGCUUACGAAGGUUUUGAUGCCUUGCUGGCAUAUCUGCAUACCAGUAAAAUAUGUGCAGAUUCAUUUCUUGCUUUGAAGCAAUAUUGUUGCUACACUCCUAAAGCGGUGGCAAUGUUCAGGUCUUUUCUGCCUCGCUGGCAAAUCUGCAUACCAGUAAUCAUGUGCAGACUUGGCUCUUCCUGAGAUUGUAGGACUGGGUCCAUUGAAUGUAACAAAAAUAAUCGAUGCCUAUUUACAAAUGAAAUGAAGAGUCUGCAUUUUGGUGCAACUCCAUAUAACUGUCGGGUGAUUUCGCUCUGAACUUGUGACACUCUGAUCGGUCUGAAAAAAUCAUUAUCCCGCCCCUCUGGGAAAAAUUUGCAGCCAGAUUGCACCAUUGCCUGUUACUGUCUGAGAGAUGGCAAUGUCAGGGGUUCAUGACGGUGGUUAAACCUAUUGCGAAUGGGCAGCACAAUUGGGUGUAGGAUACUCCGAAACCAUUGCACACUCCUGAAUCUGCGGUGGGUUGGUACCCCACGCUACGUAGGGAGUAGGUUUCUUGGUAAGACUUGGUCCACGUGAAUGGGUCGUGCCUUAAAAAUGAUGAGAAGUUGCGAAUUGACGCCCUGUGAAGUGUCCUUCGACCAACUAGUGCUAAUCCGGUCACUGUCUCCAGGUCACCAUGCCUCGGUCAAUGAGCGGGCGAAGCACCCAAUGGCUCCGUCAGGAGUACAUCGUCAACUUCAGCCCGUAGUCAAACCGGUACACGCACAAAUAUCUUAGUUGAGAGUGGGGGACAUCAGUAAAGUGCUUCUCAUCGGGGUAAUACAGUACCACUGUAUACAAUGACCCCAUUUUUUUGUUGGAUUCAUUUCCACUGAGGAGUGGUCGAUAAUGAGAAUUUCAGGCCAGUCUGAUUAUCACCAGUACAGAGGGCAAUUAUCUAAUAGUUAUGUGGCUUUCCCUCAAACUGUAUACUCUUUCAUGUCAGUUGUAAGUUCGUGUUGCUUGGUAGUGUUCAGGGUCUUUUUGUCGAACAGGCACAUCUGCAUACCAGUAAUUAUGUGCAAACAUCAUUUUUGCUUUGAAGCAAUAUCGUUGCUACACUCCUAAAGCAGUGGCUGUCUUCAGGUCUUUUCUGUGUCGCGGGCAAAUCUGCAUACCAGUGAUUAUAUGUAUAAUUAAGUCUUGCUUUGAAGCAAUAUCAGUGCUACACUUGUGAAGCAGUGGCAGUGUUCAGGUCUUGUCUGCCUCGCUGACAUAUCUGCAUACCAGUAAUUAUGUGCAGACUUGGCUCUUUCUUUGGAGCAGUACAGUUGUAAGAAAAAAUCCUGUUUGUAAUUUUAUAAAUUAGUUGCUCAUUAAGGGCUUGCGAAGGUUUUGAUGCCUUGCUGGCAUAUCUGCAUACCAGUAAAAUAUGUGCAGAUUCAUUUCUUGCUUUGAAGCAAUAUUGUUGCUACACUCCUAAAGCGGUGGCAAUGUUCAGGUCUUUUCUGUGCAGACUUGGCUCUUCCUGAGAUUGUAGGACUGGGUCCAUUGAAUGUAACAAAAAUAAUCGAUGCCUAUUUACAAAUGAAAUGAAGAGUCUGCAUUUUGGUGCAACUCCAUAUAACUGUCGGGUGAUUUCGCUCUGAACUUGUGACACUCUGAUCGGUCUGAAAAAUCAUUAUCCCGCCCCUCUGGGAAAAAUUUGCAGCCAGAUUGCACCAUUGCCUGUUACUGUCUGAGAGAUGGCAAUGUCAGGGGUUCAUGACGGUGGUUAAACCUAUUGCGAAUGGGCAGCACAAUUGGGUGUAGGAUACUCCGAAACCAUUACACACUCCUGAAUCUGCGGUGGGUUGGUACCCCACGCUACGUAAGGAGUAGGUUUCUUGGUAAGACUUGGUCCACGUGAAUGGGUCGUGCCUUAAAAAUGAUGAGAAGUUGCGAAUUGACGCCCUGUGAAGUGUCCUUCGACCAACUAGUGCUAAUCCGGUCACUGUCUCCAGGUCACCAUGCCUCGGUCAAUGAGCGGGCGAAGCACCCAAUGGCUCCGUCAGGAGUACAUCGUCAACUUCAGCCCGUAGUCAAACCGGUACACGCACAAAUAUCUUAGUUGAGAGUGGGGGACAUCAGUAAAGUGCUUCUCAUCGGGGUAAUACAGUACCACUGUAUACAAUGACCCCAUUUUUUGUUGGAUUCAAUUCCACUGGGGAGUCGUCGAUAAUGAGAACAUCAGGCCAGUCAUAGUGUCAUCAGUUCAGAGAGCAAUUACCUCAUAGUUAUGUGGCAUUCAAAAUGUAUACUCUUUUAUGUCAUUUGUGAAGUGGUGUUGUUUGUUGCACAUCAUGGCACGGGCAGAAGGAUCCGUCUGAUUGAGUUGUAUUGCUGCCUAAAUAUCAUCUCAUUUUAGGAUUAGUUUCUGUGAUUUACCAUGAGAAGGCCUACAACUGUGUAGUUCUAUCGCUGUAUUGAUUUUAUAAGUUGUGCAUUGUUGUUGUUGCUAAAUAAAAAUGUGAAAUUGUACUG